rnacentral:other from 1 species
GUAACCCUGCUGUGUUGGUGAUGCAGCAUCGCGUUUUGAGCCAACACGGUAUGAGAGGGAAUCUCGCUUACGCGGGCAAAGCGAUAGGCACUCGCCAAGGCUGACCUCGCGGGCAGGUUCCCACCUGCGAAAGCAGGUUCAAAACAAAGCGGCACACGGCACAGCGGGGAGGUC